rnacentral:rRNA from 1 species
GAUGAACGCUGACAGAAUGCUUAACACAUGCAAGUCGACUUGAAUUUGGGUUUUUACCUUAGGUUUGGGUGGCGGACGGGUGAGUAACGCGUAAAGAACUUGCCUCACAGCUAGGGACAACAUUUGGAAACGAAUGCUAAUACCUAAUAUUAUGAUAAUAGGGCAUCCUAUAAUUAUGAAAGCUAUAAGCGCUGUGAGAGAGCUUUGCGUCCCAUUAGCUAGUUGGAGAGGUAACGGCUCACCAAGGCGAUGAUGGGUAGCCGGCCUGAGAGGGUGAUCGGCCACAAGGGGACUGAGACACGGCCCGUACUCCUACGGGAGGCAGCAGUGGGGAAUAUUGGACAAUGGACCGAGAGUCUGAUCCAGCAAUUCUGUGUGCACGAUGAGGUUUUUCGGAAUGUAAAGUGCUUUCAGUUGGGAAGAAACAAAUGACGGUACCAACAGAAGAAGUGACGGCUAAAUACGUG